UACGUAGGGUGCGAGCGUUGUCCGGAAUUAUUGGGCGUAAAGAGCUCGUAGGCGGUCUGUCGCGUCUGCUGUGAAAACCCGAGGCUCAACCUCGGGCCUGCAGUGGGUACGGGCAGACUAGAGUGCGGUAGGGGAGAAUGGAACUCCUGGUGUAGCGGUGGAAUGCGCAGAUAUCAGGAAGAACACCGAUGGCGAAGGCGGGUCUCUGGGCAGUAACUGACGCUGAGGAGCGAAAGCGUGGGGAGCGAACAGG
rnacentral:rRNA from 1 species